GACGAACGCUGGCGGCGUGCUUAACACAUGCAAGUCGAACGGAAAGGCCCUGCUUUUGUGGGGUGCUCGAGUGGCGAACGGGUGAGUAACACGCGAGUAACCUGCCCUUGACUUUGGGAUAACUUCAGGAAACUGGGGCUAAUACCGGAUAGGAGCUCCUGCUGCAUGGUGGGGGUUGGAAAGUUUCGGCGGUUGGGGAUGGACUCGCGGCUUAUCAGCUUGUUGGUGGGGUAGUGGCUUACCAAGGCUUUGACGGGUAGCCGGCCUGAGAGGGUGAACGGGGACAAUGGGACUGAGAGACGGACCAGACUGCUACGGGAGGCAGCAGUGGGGAGUAUUGCACAAUGGGCGGAAGCCUGAUGCAGCAACGCCGCGUGCGGGAUGACGGCCUUCGGGUUAUAAACCGCUUUCGCCUGUGACGAAGCGUGAGUGACGGUAAUGGGUAAAGAAGCAACGGCUAACUACGUG
rnacentral:rRNA from 1 species